rnacentral:tRNA from 1 species
GAGGUCCUAGUAAAUUAUUACAUAGUUCUGUCAGCACUAAAUUAUGGGUAUUGCCCUAACCCAUGGUCCUCA